UCCUCCCAGUAAGACCUUCCCAGUUGGCUAGGUCCUUCCAGUUGGAUAGACCUUCCCAGUAGGCUAGGUUCUUCCAGUAAGACCCUUCCAGUUGGCUAGGUCCUUCCAGUUGGAUAGACCUUCCCAGUUGGCUAUGUCCUCCCAGUAGGACCCUUCCUGUUGGCUAGGUCGUCCCAGUAAGACCCUUCCAGUAGACCUCUACCAGUUGGCCAACCCAUUCCACUCAGCUCCUCCAGCCAACUGGUUCCACCUGGCCCCAAACUCCUCCACUCUUUCCCCAAAAACGCUUCCGCUCUUUCUUUCCCCAAAUUUUUUCCGCUUGUUCCCCAAAAACUUUUCUCCGCUCUUUCUUCCCCCAAAAACGCCUCUGCUCUUUUUUUCCCCAAACUUUUUUCUGCUCGUUCCCCAAAAUUCUCCGCUCCUUCCCCAAAAAGUCUCCACUCUUUCCUUCCCCAAAAACGCCUCCGCUCUUUCUUUCCCCCAAAUUUUCCGCUCGUCCCCCAAAAACGUCUCCGCUCUUUCUUUCCCCAAAUUUUUCUCCGCUCUUUCUUUCCCCCAAAUUUUCCGCUCGUCCCCCAAAAACGUCUCCGCUCGUCCCCCAAAAAUGUCUCCACUCUUUC
rnacentral:lncRNA from 1 species